rnacentral:rRNA from 1 species
CCUACGGGGGGCAGCAGUAGGGAAUUUUCGGCAAUGGGGGGAACCCUGACCGAGCAACGCCGCGUGAACGAAGAAGUUAUUCGUAAUGUAAAGUUCUUUUAACAGGGAAGAAAGAGAAAUUUGACGGUACCUGAAGAAUAAUCUCCGGCUAACUACGUGCCAGCAGCCGCGGUAAUACGUAGGGAGCGAGCGUUAUCCGGAAUUAUUGGGCGAAAGGGGUGCGUAGAUGGCAGAGUAAGUCGUUUGUAAAAAUGCUGGGCUAAACCCAGUAGGGCAAAAGAUACUGCAAAGCUAGAGUAUGACAGAGGCAAGUGGAAUGAGAGGUGUAGCGGUAAAAUGCGUAAAUAUAUGUAAGAACACCAGUGGCGAAGGCGGCUUGCGGCGUCGAUACUGACAUUGAGGCACGAAGGCGUGGGGAGCAAACAGGAUUAGAUACCCUUGUAGUC